UGCCCAGCAACUCCUAUCCCUACCUCCUAGCGGUACUGAUCGGGGUACAAGUAACCUUAGGGAAGAUCAGGUAACCAAUCUCCGUUUGGAACUUUGGUGGUAUGUUGAGAGGGAAGG
rfam:Aedes aegypti strain Liverpool supercont1.1183 genomic scaffold, whole genome shotgun sequence.